rnacentral:rRNA from 1 species
CCUACGGGUGGCUGCAGUGAGGAAUAUUGGUCAAUGGGCUUACGCCUGAACCAGCCAAGUCGCGUGCGGGAAGACUGCCCUAUGGGUUGUAAACCUCUUUUGUCAGGGAGCAACGCCGGCUACGUGUAGCCGGACUGAGAGUACCUGAAGAAAAAGCAUCGGCUAACUCCGUGCCAGCAGCCGCGGUAAUACGGAGGAUGCGAGCGUUAUCCGGAUUUAUUGGGUUUAAAGGGUGCGUAGGCGGAAUGCCAAGUCAGCGGUAAAAUCGCGGGGCGAAACCUCGCUCCGCCGUUGAAACUGGCGUGCAUGAGUAGGCGGAAAGGAGGUGGAAUGCGUGGUGGAGCGGGGAAAGGCAUAGACAUGAAGCAGAACCCAGAGUGCGAAGGCAGCAUACGGGAGCGCAACUGACGCUGAAGCACGAAAGCGGGGGUAUCGAACAGGAUUAGAUACCCCAGGAGUC